UACGUAGGGUGCGAGCGUUGUCCGGAAUUAUUGGGCGUAAAGAGCUUGUAGGCGGUCUGUCGCGUCUGCUGUGAAAAUCCGGGGCUCAACCCCGGACUUGCAGUGGGUACGGGCAGACUAGAGUGUGGUAGGGGAGACUGGAAUUCCUGGUGUAGCGGUGAAAUGCGCAGAUAUCAGGAAGAACACCAAUGGCGAAGGCAGCUCUCUGGGACGGUACUGACGCUGAGACGCGAAAGCGUGGGGAGCGAACAGG
rnacentral:rRNA from 1 species